CCCUUAGAUGUUCUGGGCCGCACGCGCGCUACACUGACGAAGUCAGCGAGCAUCUCCUACGCCGAAAGGUGCGGGGAAUCUUGUGAAACUUUGUCGUGCUGGGGAUUGAUUUUUGAAAUUCUUGAUCAUCAACGAGGAAUUCCUAGUAAGCGCAAGUCAGCAGCUUGCGUUGAUUACGUCCCCGCCCUUUGUACACACCGCCCGUCGCUACUACCGAUUGAAUGGUUUAGUGAGAUUUUUGGACUGGAACUCUCUUGUUCAGCAAUGAACGAGAGGGACUCUGGGAAGCUAUUCUAACUGUAUCAUUUAGAGGAAGUAAAAGUCGUAACA
rnacentral:rRNA from 1 species